rnacentral:rRNA from 1 species
CUACGGGACGCUCCAGUGGGGAAUAUUGCACAAUGGGCGAAAGCCUGAUGCAGCAACGCCGCGUGAGGGACGACGGCCUUCGGGUUGUAAACCUCUUUUAGCAGGGAAGGAGCGAAAGUGACGGUACCUGCAGAAAAAGCACCGGCUAACUACGUGCCAGCAGCCGCGGUAAUACGUAGGGUGCAAGCGUUGUCCGGAAUUAUUGGGCGUAAAGAGCUCGUAGGCGGUUUGUCGCGUCUGCUGUGAAAAUCCGAGGCUCAACCUCGGACCUGCAGUGGGUACGGGCAAACUAGAGUGCGGUAGGGGAGAUUGGAAUUCCUGGUGUAGCGGUGGAAUGCGCAGACAUCAGGAGGAACACCAAUGGCGAAGGCAGAUCUCUGGGCCGUAACUGACGCUGAGGAGCGAAAGCGUGGGGAGCGAACAGGAUUAGAUACCCGUGUAGUC